AGUCAAUAGAUACCCAGGUAGUCCAUGCCGUAAACGAUGAUUGCUAGGUGUGGGGGGUCUGACCCCUUCCGUGCCGGGGUUAAACACAAAUAAGCAAUCCACCUGGGGAGUACGGCCGCAAGGUUGAAACUCAAAGGAAUUGACGGGGGCCCGCACAAGCAGUGGAGUAUGUGGUUUAAUUCGAAGCAACGCGAAGAACCUUACCAGGUCUUGACAUCCACCGAAUCCUGUAGAGAUACGGGAGUGCCCUUCGGGGAACGGUGAGACAGGUGGUGCAUGGUUGUCGUCAGCUCGUGUCGUGAGAUGUUGGGUUAAGUCCCGCAACGAGCGCAACCCUUGUGAAUAGUUGCUACGAAAGAGCACUCUAUUCAGACCGCCGUUGACAAAACGGAGGAAGGUGGGGAUGACGUCAAAUCAUCAUGCCCCUUAUGACCUGGGCUACACACGUACUACAAUGGCCGUUAACAGAGGGAUGCAAUACCGCGAGGUGGAGCGAACCCCUAAAAACGGUCUCAGUUCAGAUUGCAGGCUGAAACUCGCCUGC
rnacentral:rRNA from 1 species